GACAGAGGGUGCAACCGUUGUUCGGAAUUACUGGGCGUAAAGCGCGUGUAGGCGGCCCGGUAAGUCGGAUGUGAAAGCCCUGGGCUUAACCCAGGAAGUGCAUUCGAAACUCCCGGGCUUGAGUUCUGGAGAGGAAGGCGGAAUUCUCGGUGUAGAGGUGAAAUUCGUAGAUAUCGAGAGGAACACCGGUGGCGAAGGCGGCCUUCUGGACAGUGACUGACGCUGAGACGCGAAAGCGUGGGGAGCAAACAGG
rnacentral:rRNA from 1 species